UCGUCCAGGAGCCCUAGCCGCACAAGAAUAUGGCGGAAGUGGACCUGAGCAGCAUGAACAUCCUUCUCAGGAGACCUGAAUAGUCGUCAUGUUUCUGCCUUCUGCAUCGCUGGCUUACCAAGGGGAAACGAAGUCACGCGGCAGAGUCUACUGCCCUCAUGCGAUGGAGAGCGUCGAGACUCUGAGCAUUGUUGAUGCCACGCAAAAGCCGUCCAUCUGGGAGCCGAGGAGACGCCGCUGUCAGUGAGAUAAGUGUCUGGUUUGGUGAGGGCUCUGCUCACGCCCAACCUGAGUCCAGGAACGGCGUCUCCUCUGCAGCAGAAAGUUGCAUCCAGGAGGAUGACUCCAGGUGCUGCGCUUCCAGAGGAAUUUUCCAAGAGCCCCAGCCCGGGGAGAAAGUGGCAGAAGUGGACAUGAGCAGACUGGACAUCCUUGUCAGCAGACAUGAACAGUCCUCCGCUUUCUGACUCCCGCAUAACUGGCUGACCGAGAGAAAAGAAGUCACGCGUCAGAGUCUCAAGUCCUCAUGCGAUGGAAAGCGAGCCAGAGCGACGAGACCGCGAGCAUUGUUGAUGCCACGCAAAAGCCGUCCAACUGGGAGGGGAACGGCCGCCGCUCUCAGUGAGAUAAGUGUCUGGUUUGGUGAGGGCUCUGCUCACGCCCAACCUGAGUCCAGGUUGCGAAGCCCACUAAGUUAGGGCCGGUUUUGUAUGAAAAGGUUCCUGACUAGCUGUGGUGAGGAGGGAGAAAAGGUCCCUAUUUUCAGAGGUUGCUCAUUUCUCUGGUCAGGAACGGUGUCUCUUCCGCAGCGGAAGGUUGGAUUCAGGAGGAUGACUCCAGGUGGUCAGUUGCUUGCUUUCCUCCCAUUUUCUCUCUCUCUCUCUCUCUCUCUCCUCUUGUGUGUUGGCCAACUUUCUCACUCUCUUUCCUCUCCUGUCCUCAUGCCUUCUCCCUUUCUAGGACACGGGCAUGCGUGCUAGGUGUGCAUCCCCACAGGCCAGGUCUUGGGAGCCAUGGAGAAGUAGGAGGGGACGAAAACCAUGCAGGGCUGCGACUGUCGGUGUUAACUCGGUCUCUGUUCAUUGAGCGGGGCCGAUGUAGAUGGGAUUGGAGAGGGAGGCAGCGACGAGGGCAAGAUUUCCAGCACCAAUAGAGCUCUGUGUAGUGAUAGUUCUUGCUUGGCUUUAUUAGUUUGCAGGGGAAUCGUCCAGGAGCCCUAGCCGCACAAGAAUAUGGCGGAAGUGGACCUGAGCAGCAUGAACAUCCUUCUCAGGAGACAUGAAUAGUCGUCAUGUUUCUGCCUUCUGCAUCGCUGGCUUACCAAGGGGAAACGAAGUCACGCGGCAGAGUCUACUGCCCUCAUGCGAUGGAGAGCGUCGAGACUCUGAGCAUUGUUGAUGCCACGCAAAAGCCGUCCAUCUGGGAGCCGAGGAGACGCCGCUGUCAGUGAGAUAAGUGUCUGGUGUCAUGAGGGCUCUGCUCACGCCCAACCUGAGUCCAGGAACGGCGUCUCCUCUGCAGCAGAAAGUUGCAUCCAGGAGGAUGACUCCAGGUGUUUGCAGGGGAAUCGUCCAGGAGCCCUAGCCGCACAAGAAUAUGGCGGAAGUGGACCUGAGCAGCAUGAACAUCCUUCUCAGGAGACAUGAAUAGUCGUCAUGUUUCUGCCUUCUGCAUCGCUGGCUUACCAAGGGGAAACGAAGUCACGCGGCAGAGUCUACUGCCCUCAUGCGAUGGAGAGCGUCGAGACUCUGAGCAUUGUUGAUGCCACGCAAAAGCCGUCCAUCUGGGAGCCGAGGAGACGCCGCUGUCAGUGAGAUAAGUGUCUGGUGUCAUGAGGGCUCUGCUCACGCCCAACCUGAGUCCAGGAACGGCGUCUCCUCUGCAGCAGAAAGUUGCAUCCAGGAGGAUGACUCCAGGUGUUUGCAGGGGAAUCGUCCAGGAGCCCUAGCCGCACAAGAAUAUGGCGGAAGUGGACCUGAGCAGCAUGAACAUCCUUCUCAGGAGACAUGAAUAGUCGUCAUGUUUCUGCCUUCUGCAUCGCUGGCUUACCAAGGGGAAACGAAGUCACGCGGCAGAGUCUACUGCCCUCAUGCGAUGGAGAGCGUCGAGACUCUGAGCAUUGUUGAUGCCACGCAAAAGCCGUCCAUCUGGGAGCCGAGGAGACGCCGCUGUCAGUGAGAUAAGUGUCUGGUGUCAUGAGGGCUCUGCUCACGCCCAACCUGAGUCCAGGAACGGCGUCUCCUCUGCAGCAGAAAGUUGCAUCCAGGAGGAUGACUCCAGGUGCUGCGCUUCCAGAGGAAUUUUCCAAGAGCCCCAGCCCGGGGAGAAAGUGGCAGAAGUGGACAUGAGCAGACUGGACAUCCUUGUCAGCAGACAUGAACAGUCCUCCGCUUUCUGACUCCCGCAUAACUGGCUGACCGAGAGAAAAGAAGUCACGCGUCAGAGUCUCAAGUCCUCAUGCGAUGGAAAGCGAGCCAGAGCGACGAGACCGCGAGCAUUGUUGAUGCCACGCAAAAGCCGUCCAACUGGGAGGGGAACGGCCGCCGCUCUCAGUGAGAUAAGUGUCUGGUUUGGUGAGGGCUCUGCUCACGCCCAACCUGAGUCCAGGUUGCGAAGCCCACUAAGUUAGGGCCGGUUUUGUAUGAAAAGGUUCCUGACUAGCUGUGGUGAGGAGGGAGAAAAGGUCCCUAUUUUCAGAGG